rnacentral:rRNA from 1 species
GAUGAACGCCGGCGGCGUGCCUAAUACAUGCAAGUCGAGCGAACAGACGAGGAGCUUGCUCCUCUGACGUUAGCGGCGGACGGGUGAGUAACACGUGGAUAACCUACCUAUAAGACUGGGAUAACUUCGGGAAACCGGAGCUAAUACCGGAUAACAUGUUGAACCGCAUGGUUCAACAGUGAAAGACGGUCUUGCUGUCACUUAUAGAUGGAUCCGCGCCGCAUUAGCUAGUUGGUAAGGUAACGGCUUACCAAGGCAACGAUGCGUAGCCGACCUGAGAGGGUGAUCGGCCACACUGGAACUGAGACACGGUCCAGACUCCUACGGGAGGCAGCAGUAGGGAAUCUUCCGCAAUGGGCGAAAGCCUGACGGAGCAACGCCGCGUGAGUGAAGAAGGUCUUCGGAUCGUAAAACUCUGUUAUUAGGGAAGAACAAAUGUGUAAGUAACUAUGCACGUCUUGACGGUACCUAAUCAGAAAGCCACGGCUAACUACGUG